rnacentral:lncRNA from 1 species
UGAAAAAAAAAGUUCAAAAUAAAUAUUUUUUAUAAAUUCACAAAUUACUUAUAUUUGGAUACAAUUCUAAAAGCAUAUAUUCUUUUUUAAUUUUUCUUGUUUUUUAAGUUUUUAUAAAUUUAUUUUAAUAGAAUAUUUAAAAAAGAUUAUAUAUAAAUAAGCUUUUAACUUAUUUCAUUUAAAAUAUAAUAAAUAUAUCAAUUUAAAAAGUAGUUUUUUUUUCAAAAGAAUUAUUCAUAAAAAAUAUCAAAUAAGUUAUUAUUUUUUAUAAAAGAAUACUAAUAUAACAUAAGCAUUUUUCGUAUAUCAAAAUUAAAUAAAAAUACAUGUAAUUUUAUAAAAUUAAAAAAAUAAGAAACAAUAAUAUAAUUAAAUAAUUUGAUCCAGAAAUGUUAUAUAAUUAAGUUUUAGAUGAUGUUAACUUAAUAAAAAAACUUGAAAAAUUUAUAAGAAUAAAAUAAUCAAUAUGUUAAAAAAAACUUGUUAAAAGAAAAUUUAUAGACUUAAAAUUUAUGUAUAUUUGAUUUUGUAAAUUUUUUAAUAAAAAAUACUUUUGGUCAGUCAAUUUUUUUUGGCUCAAGGCAUAUGUUUUAAGAUCAAGUUUAAAGACAUGGAUUAAUUUGAAAACUCUACCCUCCCUUAAAAUUGAUUUAGCCUGUGUCAUUGUGUUUGUUUCCAACGAUCAAAGCAGAUUUGUAAGGGCGAUUUGGAGGGGAAGAUGAAAAAGAUACGAAGAUAUUUGUAAAGAAAGACAAUAAAUUUACAUAAUUCUCCUUGUUUUUAAAUAUGUGGCCUGAUUCAAUUCAACAUAUUUUUAUCUUGCUAAUUUCUAUAAACCAAAUUUUAAUUUAAUAUAUUUUUAUCAAUAUUUUUUUUUUUCAUUUUUAAUAAUCAGUCAUAUUUAAUAAUAAGACAAUAUAUUGAUAUAAUGCGAUCUCUUCUUUUGAUAUAAUUACAAUGCAGGGUGAAAAAAAAAGGUUGAGAUGGAUGCAUGCGCAAAGGGAUGAGAGUUGAGCGUGUUAAGAUGUUGGAGCUAAAGUUUGGAAUUUUGCUUUGUUAGGAAAAUAUGAGAGGCUUUUGGGUGAGAAAAAGUGAAAAACAGUGAUUCGUGGAAUGUGGGGCUAUGCAUAUGCAAAAUGCAAAAUGCAAAAUGCAAUAUGCAAUAUGCAAUAUGUAAUAUGCCUUUUCUUCAUCUGUGGUAUAUGUAAUUAUUCUCUUGCCGAGUCUUUUGCUUAUACUACGUAGAAUCCAAUGCAUAGUAUACCAUUCACUAACAUCAAUUAUAUUGCUACAAAAUGUAACAGAUGAAACAGUUGCUUUUCUGUUCUUUAUGAGCUCUUUGACAUCCUUUGCUUUUGAUCAUUGUUUUAUCUGGCAGCUAUAGAACCGGCACCUCGUGCAAACAGAUUCUUCUGUACCAACUUUUGGACCUUUUUCUAAGAAACAAAUAACGGAAACAGUUCUUCAUGUACAACCACAGUCUUCACUGCAAAAUUUUAAAACAUCACCAUCUUUAUUCACUAAAUUACAAACAUAACAGUAUUUAAGCUCAUCGAUCCAAACUUUACCAACAUUUACAACUUCUAAUAUAAAUCAGGAUUUAAUAUAUUCGCACUUUCAAAACCAUAUUCACGUUAAUCAAAGAAAUCAUUAUAACUGAAAAAGAUUAGUAUCAAUCGAUAAAAUAUGGUGGAUGAAUAAAAUAAAUAUAAUAAUUUAUAUAUAAAAUGACAGAAAAACUGUGAGUAGAGAUAUUUAUAAGCUUUAAAUUAUAAAUAAUCUACAUUUUAUAUUAUUGUUAAAAAAGUAUAUAAAUUAUUAAUAUAUAAGUUAACCUCAACUUAAUUAGCAGUAAUUUAAAUAAAUAUUAAAAAUUAAAAAUAAAUAAUAUUAAUGUCAACUACAUCAAUACCAAUCUUAUUUAUUUUAAUUAGUCUAACAUUAAUUCAAAUAUUUAUUUAUUAAAAUAAUUAAUAAUAUUAAAUAAAAAUAUUUUUUAUUACAAAUAAUUGUAUUAAUGAUUUUAAUACAAUUAUAAAAAAAUAAACAUAAUAAUAAUAUAUAUCUAAAACAAUUAAAGAAAAUCACUAGAUGAUAAGAAAAAAUAUCUUGUACCAUCACUCUCAUCAUUCUUCAACACUUCUCACUUAUGCUCACACCAAUAAUAACAAAAAAGAAAAAAAAAACACAAAUGAACACUAAGGGUGUGUUUACUUUGAUUGAUAGAUUUAAGAAACACAAAAUAUAGAUUUGAGAGUAAUUUGAGUGUAUUUUUAAGGAAUUAGGAGAUAAUUUAAAUUGAUUUUGAAAUAAAGUUUGUGAAAGUUUGUAUAUAUAUGAUAAAUAAAAAAAUUGUUUUAAUUGAUAGAAAAUAAAGAUUACCAAAAAUAUCUUUAGUGAUAAAAGUGAUAUAAAAUAAUAUUUAUUAAUAAUCUAAAUAUUUCUUAAAAUUUUAUAAGAGUAAAAAAAGUCAAAAUUAAUUAUGAAAAUAAAAUAAAUUUGUUUUUAAAUAAAAUGAAGUAAUUUUGAAUAAAAUUUUAAUUUUUUAAAAAUAUAAUAUUUGUAAAAGCUAUUAUAAGAGGAAGUAAAAUAAAAAUUAAUUAUGAAAAUAAAGUAACUUUUAUUUCAAUAACACUAAAGGAAGAUCAUGAUGUAUUUCUCUAGAUCAAGAUACAACUUCGUGUUUUUCAUCUUCAAUCUCACGUCAUGAUCUUCGUAUUCAAAUUUUAAUUAUCUAGAAUCAAUUAGUCUUAAAACUUUGAUUAAUAAUUAUUAAAUGGAACGAGAACAAACAUAUCAAUUAUUCAAAAUUUAUUCCAAAUUUUCACACUUCAGCGAUUAUUCAAAAACAAUUUAUUUUAAAAUAAUAAAACUCUAUAAAAAAAACACUUUAUAUUAAUAUAUUUUAAUAUUAAAAUAGUCAAAUUUAUUGUUUUUAAUAUUAUCAUUUUUAAAAUAGGGUUAAAUAUGUUUUUAGUCCCUAUAUUUUGGGGCGAUUUUGGUUUUAGUCCCUCUUUCAAACUAAUGUACAAUUUAGUCUUUCAACUUUAGAAAAUUCUGGUUUUAGUCAUUUUUACCAAAUUUUUUUUAACUUUAUUUGCUGUUCAAACGCGUUUCUCAGUUAACAUUGAAGCAAAAAUUUGUCAAACAGUAUAAACAAUCCAAAUGCUAUAAUGAAUCGUGCUUAAAAUAGUGUAAACAAUUUUUCGCUUUUAAAAGUAAAUAGGUUUUGAAUUUAUUAUUGGUAAUAUUCACAUAAUUAUUAUUAUUUUUUUUUUGCUGUGAAUCAGAAAUUUAUUGUAUGACUUCCAAAACUAGUUCUUUUUUUUUCCUUCUGGAUUGUUAAAAAAAAGGAAAAAAAAUUAAAAAAUGGAUUAUAAUAUAUUUAAUUAAUACUUAUCAUUCUUUUCUUCAAACUAAACCUUAUACAUUAAACUUUUCACUUUAUUCCAAUAAUCUUAAUUUUCACUUAUUUCUUAAAAAAAUAUUUUGCUUUACUUCUUCAAAAUGUUUUCUAGCAAUAAAAACUAGACAAUGAAAGGAAGAAGAAAAAUACAAAUUAGCUGAAGUAGGUGACUUGGUUGAUUUGAUUGUCAGCUGUAGACUGACAUUGAUCUUUUGAACUUGAAAAAACAAUUUUGAUAAUAUAACAAUAAAGACUUUUAGACCUUUUUGACAAUUUUUUAAAUAAAUAUUAUUUAAUAAGGUUAUAACUAUAAAUAAACCGUCUUAAAUAUGAUUUAUAAUAAGUCUCAUUUUAAAAUAUGACUUCCAAUAAAAGUCACAUUAAAAAAUAAUUUUAAAUUUUAAUUAUUUUUCAAAAAGAAAAAACGCGUGUUUCAAGCUAACUCUAGCUUCAACUUGAAAAUAUUAUAUUUUUUUCACGUUUUCUUUUAUAGAAAGGAAAAAUAAAAAAUAAAAAACAUAAGAGAAAGGGAUGAUAAAUGUAUAAAUAAUAAAAAAUUUAUUGUUGUUUAUUUUAUUAUUAAUAUCAAUAUUAUUUAUCAUUAAUAAUUUUUUAUUUUUAGUAUUUAUUCAUUAUUAUUAUAACAAAAAACCAAUAUAUUAUAAAAAAAAGUUAUUAUAAGGCAAUAAAAACCAUGUUUUAAUUCUCUACUUGAAAAGAUAUAUUUCUAUCUAUCUAUCUAUAUAUAUAUAUAUAUAAUUUUUGAAAUUAAGUUUAAAAACUAAUAUAGCCUAUAGAAAUAUAUAUUAAUUAGAAGAGUUUAUUGAUACUUUUGAAUGUUAUUUAUGUUAAAACUUGUUGGUGAUCACGUAUUUAUAAAAGUUCGUGUAAAGAAGGAAGUGGCACCGUAUAAAUAAAAAAUUGGUUUGAUAUUUGUCAUCGCAACUUUAUAUAUUUCUUGGUUGUAUAAAGACUUUAGUAAUUAUGUUUCAUGAAAAUAUUUACAAUUGUUAUUAAACAAAUUGUAUGGAAAAUUUUAUAAUUUUUCAAAAAAGAUUACAUAUUAGAUAUAAUAGUUUUAUUAAGCAUGGUGUAAAGAUAAGGUCUACAAAAUUAAACCAUGUUAAGUUUAUGAUAUAAUUUUAUUUUUAUUUUUACUUAUGACAUGCUUCCGCGUUAUUUCUUUUUAUCAUUAUAUGAUUUUCAAGAAAAAUUCCUUAUUUUGCAUUUAUGACAACAUGUACUUAUAUAUGACUUAUGUUUCUCUUAUAUAUGGAAAACAAGAAAGAAAGACAAAAAUAAAAAAAAAUAAAAAAGAAAUAAAAUAAAAAAUUUGUUUAAUUUAAAAAUUAAUGAAACAACAGACCAUUUUAAUUAUUAUUAACUUUUCAAGUACUUAUUAUUAUUAUUAUUAUAAUAGUAAAGAGUAAAACAAUCAUAAAUUAUUAUAACUGAUUAUAAAUCAGGUACCUGCUCUUCCUCUCUCAUUAUCUGUUUUUUUUCACCUUUUCUCAUUUAUAUAUUCCAAUAGUCGUUUUAUUUUUUCACAUAUUCAUUUACUUUCUGUAAAAUAUUUUGGAUCUUACCAAAUUUGACUGUAGAUCUAGAGUGAUGGUUGAAUAUUUGUAAUACUUAGAAUUCAAUCACUUGUUAAUUGGGAAAGAAAUUCAUUUAUAAAAGCCUUUCCAUCACUCAGAAUAGUAAAAAUGUCUUUAUCUUUAUAAAAAUAAUAGUGAGUAUAAGUAACUAGUAAAUCAGUAUUAUUCGAAAAUAGUAAUUGUAUUUAUGGAAUUGAUGGUCUUAUAUUUAUAUUAUCAUAAUUACUAAUAUUAAUUAUGAUAGAUGAAUCUUGUUUUAAUAUAAUUAAGUUUGAAUUGUUCUAAAAUAAAAAAGGUUAAAGAAUAUUUUUGAAUUGUGUUAUGUAUGUUUAUUUGAUUGAAUUGAAUAAGAUUAAUUUCUAAUUUCAUAUUGUUACAAUUUUUAUUUUACUAAAAUAUUCCUAUUAUUUAUUAUUUUUAUUUAAAUAAAAUUAUUUUCUAUUAUCAAUGAUUAUAAUUCAGUUUAUUUUACUACUUUCAUAAAAAAAAAAAAAAAGGUCCAAAUUACUUAAAAAACUGAAAUUGUGAGAAGUUUUACUUUUUUUCAAUUAUUUAUUGGAUAAAUUUUAAAUAACUAAUAUGCUUUUAUUAAUAAUAAAUUCAUGAAUUUGUAUGUCUAUUGUGUACUUAUUGCUUACUCGUUCUCUAAUUUCAAUAUAUGAGUUCUUUUUACUUAAUGAAUAAUAUUUAUAUUUUUAAUAUUCAUUUCAAAAUUAAAACUCAAUAUAUUCCAAUGCCGAAAAACUAAUUGAUAAUAUUUAUUAAAAAAAUAAUAUAUAUUUACAAUAUUCACUUACACAUUUAAUUUAUAUAACACGUUAUUUAUUAAAUAUUGUUUCAUCAUUAAAAAGCUUAGUAUUAUUUAUCUAAUAAAAUCACAAAUUUUCAUUACAUCAUAUAUAAAAAAAAAUACCAUCCAAAAAUAAUUGUAACACGCAUCUUAUUAUCAAUCACAUUACAACAUAAUUUAAUAUAUGAUUCUGUAUAUUAAAUAAAUAAUUUAACUAAUUUAUUUAACUCAUUACAAUAAUUAAUAUAUAUUUUAUUUUAUAAAGGUUUUUAAUUGUAAUGUCCUAUACAAUUACAGUCAUGCUAAUAGUAAUUAUAAUAAAAUUAUAUAUAUAUAUAUAUAUAUAUAUAUAUAUAUAUAUGUGUGUGUGUGUAAUAUAAUUAAUAAUAUAGGAAAUUUCUCUUUAUUAUCAUUUUAUAACCUUAUUUUAAUUUACAAAAUAUCUUAUAAUUAUCACAAUAAUUAUGCACAAGGAUGAACUUCUUGAAAAUAAGAAAUAACUUCAUAUAAUUAUGAUCAACAAUAUAAUAAUCAUAAUUAUGAACAGUUUUUAGUUUCUUUUAAAAUGAAACUGAAAUACGUUUUCACUUAAUUAUAAAAUAUUUUAUAAGAAUUUUCAAAAUAAAAUAAUUAAAAUGUAAAUUUAAUUUUUAAUUUUAAAAAAUAUAAGCUUUUAUACCUUUUUUUAAUGAUUUUUCUUAUCAUUCUCAUUAGUAUAGUGUCUUAAAUUAUUAUUAUAUUUAUUAUUAUUAUGACUUUACUAUCUUGAGAAUGAUUUUAGAAUAAGAAGUUUGUAAACUAAAUAUUUUACAAAUAAAAAUUAAAAAUUUACAAAGAGUAAAAAAUAUAUGAAAUUAAAAGUCAUUUUGAAAAUUUAUAUUUAAAAACCAUUCUGAAUGGAACCUUGGCCAGCUGGGCAUGAGGCUACAUUGGCCACUGACUCACAGGAACAUAUUAUGAGUAGAUUGGACCAAAAUAUGCUCUGAUCAAUCAACAUCAAACAAUUUUAAUUAUCUAGGUAUGUGCUAUGCUGGAAUGAUUUAAAUAAUUUUAUUUUUCUAAUAAAAAUGGUCUUUUUGUAAACAUAUAAUGCAUUAUACAUUCUUGAAAUAUCCUUUUAGUACUUCACGUACUCCUUUUAAUAGAUAAUUUCGCUUUUUGCUGAUUAAAAUAAAUCGAUGAUAUUACAAAAAAUUGUUCUUCAAAAUCUUUUCACGUUGUUUGUUUUAAAUGACUGAAUUUGGUAGUUAAUUCAAUCUUACGAAUACAACAAACCUACUAUCAAAUUUUAGAAGACUAAUUUUGUGUUUUAUUAAACAUGCAAUGUCUUAUGUUGCAUUUAACUAAGUUAGAAUUAAUUUUUUAAAAGAUACUAAACUUUUUUGCUUAUCUCAGUAAUAGCAAAGCAUACAAUGACAACAAAAGCAUAACCCAAAUGUACGUUACGUUUGACCUCGUUCAACUUGUGUCUUCAAUUAACUUUCUUCCACGUGCUGCUUCUGUGUCUCCGUGAUAAUCAACUUACAGGUUAAUCUAAUCUUUAUUUUCAACGUAAUGAUCCAAGUGACACACUUCAUCGGAAAUGUUCUAUAUAUGAACAUAAAAAGACAAACGGCAUAGCUUAUAACUUCCAUCCAAAUUUUAACUAGAUUUAGAACAUAUCUAAGAAUCUGAAGAUAACACGAGCUAUUAUACUCGUAUAUACAUACACUCAAUUAACUCAGUUUCAUCUCUCUCUCUAUAUAAUCUCUUUAUUUUUGUUGUAAUCUUUAUUUUUGUUGUAAUCUUUAUUUUUUCCUUUGUUUUUAGGAAUAAUAGUAGGAUUACAGAGUUACACUCGUUUGACCUGCUUGCUUUUUGUAAUAGGAAAGUGAAAAAUACUAUGUCAAAUAAAUAAGUAUAAAAAUGUAUCAGAGUAUUUUUUUUUUCUUUUUUGAGUGACUUUAGAAUUUAUGAAUUAACAAGUUGACGUACAGGAAACAAAUAUAAAAGUGUAGGCGUGAGAAAAUAAACAAGGGAGCAUAGUUUGUUGGUAGAAAGUUUGGCUAAUUAAUUAUUGAUUAGAGAUAAGCAAUCAGCUGCAGUGGUACUGGGGAAAUUGAAGAACAUGAAAGUUAAUAAUUAAGGUCUAAUGAAAAGAGAACUACAUGCAUGGAUAAUCCCAAGAGCUAGUCAAAGUGUAGUAGUAGUAGUUCUUAGUUAUAUCAACAUAAUCACUCUUAAGCCACUAAUAGAUGCAUAUUAAAGUUAAGGAAUCAGAGUUGCUGAGGUUGAAAGGUUGGUGAACUCGGAAAACUUUUGUUCUUGCAUUUCUUGAAGAGAAAACAGACUGGUGAAUUAGUAGGGUGAGACACCAACAUUAGCUGAAGCAUAAAACCCAUCUUUCAUGAGAACCUCUUCUCCUUCCUGGACAAAAGAGAAAAACACACCCACACACUCAGAAAUCAAGGUCAGGGUUAUGCAUUAUUUUGUCUGCAACAUUUUGCAAGAAGAGGGUGCAUGAUAAUUUACCUGCUGGCACACAUUUGUCUUCUUCACAGUCUGAUCAGGCAUGAGACCAAAGUGGAUGUGUGGGAAGUGGGCCCACUGACACACAAAGCACGUCAUACAUCAGAAGAAGUUCAAAGUGAGCCAGAAAACCUUUUCAUUAAUUUAUUGGAUUGUAGAACUAGGGGGAGGAAAUACUACCAAGUACUUGAAAAAAGUAUUUGAAAACAUGUGUUCUGGUGUAAAGACAUGUAUUAUUUUCUUGUCAAAGAUGUCAACAAAUCUAUGAAUAAUUAAUGGUAUAUAUUAGAUAUUUAGAUAAACGAUGAUAAAACGUUGCUUGUAAAAAACUAGAUAAAACAUGCAACAUUUGGAAAGAAAACAUAUAUGCGAUUAACUGUUUAAUUUAUUGAAACCCUAGUACGUAAGAACCCCCAUUGUUGUAUUUGUUUAUUUAUUUAUGUAAGAGAGGAAAAAGGAUGAUACAUUCUUGGCAGCUGCACUGAAGGCUUCCCUGUGAGUUAUAUCGGGAUUGACAGACUUGAUGCGUUGGAUCUCGUCCCUGCAGAAAUAUACAUGGACCAUUCAAAUUUGCUUCAACUUUAAAAGCCUUUCAUAAGAACAAAGUACAAUUUUAAUAAAUAAAUAUGAAGUUGUUUAAAAUUUAAAUAAAAAUAGUAAUAAGAAGAAUAAUAAAAAUAGCGAAUGCUUUAAAAUGAAUACUCACUUGAUAAAGCGAUUGUACGCGGAGGGGACUCUCUGUCUCUUCUCAGGAGCUGGACAAUGGCACACAGUCAUAUAUCAAAAUCAUUUCCUUUGACUUUGCAGAUGCAAUAUUCAUUUUAUCUAGCUAUUUAAAUUCCCUAUUUUCCGUGGCAAGGGGCAUCACUGCCUCUGUCUGUAUACAACACAUCCAUGCUUCCGAUUCUGAUGAUACUCAGUGUUAAGGGUUUUAAGCAACUAUAAUUCCGGGGGAGAACAAGCAGCCCCUACAUGUUUUUCUCUUUCUACCAACUAUUUUCCUUCGUGCCACUUAUGAACUCCAAAGUAACCUAUGUUUUUCUUCAUCUCUGUCGGUGCUUAUAACAAAAAAAACUAAUAGAAGGGAAACUAAAAUAUUAUUGAUAAAAGUGAAAGUGAAACACCGCCUCACAGACUGUGCCCUAGAAUCAGAAAUACUAGUAGGUAAUACUUGCAGUUCUUUUACAUUAAUUAGUCUUCCCAUAUAUUAAAAAUCUUUUCUAGGCUUAAUUAGGGACGUGAUGUCUAUAUAGACCUUGUCAUUAUUUAGUUAUUAGGAUCAUUGAUAAGUUUUUAGGGAAUGUGCGGUUGGAAACAAGGAAGGGUUUUAGGUACUGUCGCGAUGAAACCUUUAAAAGACCCUUUUUCUUCUACCAAAGGAACUGGUCCUGUCAAUAUUGACCAUAAAAGCAACGACAUGAUUUAUUUUCCUUUGAAAACCAACAGUGUAUUUUACUACGCGAAUGCUGCUUUCAUCUAAAAGAUAACUUCAUUAUUGAGGUGAAUAAGAGAUCAUGGGUGAAUACUAAAGGGAACCUUAAUUUUGAACGAGAGAAAUCCGAGUUAUUUUUCAGACAUAUAAAUGUAAAAAUAAAAAUAAAAAUAGAAGAGUAUAUUUAUCUCACGUCUGUUUAUGAUCGGUGGCCGUGGAAGCUCAUCAGCUGCAGUCCUGGCAGGCAUAGAGAACUCAUUUGAAGCACUUAAAUUUGCUUGGUUCAUAAGAAAAUUUGGAGAUGGGUUUGGUAUCUCCUCCUGCAAAAAUGGAAUAUGUCAUCCACCAAGCCAGAAAUAAAUUGUACUGAGAAUGAACCCAACACCUCUUUAACUCAUAGUCCAUAAAUAAGAAGAGGGUAACGGUGUACUAACACUGAUACAUUAAUUUAUUAAAAAGACGAGUAGUAAAUUGAGAAUAAAAGAGAAGUAUGGUGAUGUAUAGAUAGACAUAAUCAGUACCAAAAGGUUAUGGGAUGGGGAGAAGAAAGAGUGACCCAAAUGAAAUUGAGUAGGAGAUGGCACAAGCAGGCCGCGCAUGUUCACUGGCAGAAGGUUAGUGCAAUGGCCGCAUCGGACAGUAACUGUCUUGAACAAGCUUGUGCAGGGAACACUUACCUGAAACAUGGAAGGGGAGAAACAUGAAUGAAAAAAGUGAUAGAUAAUUUGGUGAGAGAGAAAGAAAAAAUUAAAGAGGAGUAGCGUGUUGGGAGUGAGGUUGGCAUUAGGUGAAGAAAAACCCUAGUGUCGGAAAAGUGGGGGAAAGAGGUUUGGGGGUAAGAAAAUGUAAAAUGUGUUCAUACAGCAAGGACGGUGUCACAAAUAUUGCAGUGAACAUAACAAAGCUGUUCGGAAGGAGGGAGGUGGUCCAGUGAUAUUGUGGUGGAAGAGGAUGACAUUUUGGGUAGCCCCCUUUUUUCGUUCUCUUAUAUUCGGUUGAUGAUUGGUCUCUUGAUUGAUUGAUUGAUAGAUGGACAGCUUAACCACCACACCUUGGAUAUGCUUUUUUUGAUUAUGAGUUGUGAAAGAAAGGUGCAGAGAGACAGAGAAAGAGUGAGAGGGAAAGAGGCUGAUCUAUUUGGUCUGGUCUGGUUGAUAGAUAUAUACUACGAGAGGGAAAGGCACAGAAUUCACCCCUUCUCUUUCUCUGUUUAUUGCUCUUGUUUAUAGAGCACACAAGAGCUUCCCAUGGAUGCUAUCCAUGCAUGCAUUCAUGCAUGUAUCAUGUAUGCAUUCAUGUGACAUUAACACAUUCAUCAUCAUCAUGAUCUGUGUACAGGGAAGAGGGCUUAGUUUGUUUGUACAUGAACAUGGUGAAGUUAUUAUAUAAUUAACAUGGGAACAUAUGUGGUUGGCAUUUCGAUGUGUAUGUGUGUGUGUGAGAGAGAGAGAGAGAGAGAGAGAGAGAGAGAGAGAGAAGCGGCAGAUGUGGGGGAGAGGAGCCAGAAAGGGACGUGUGCAUGGAGUGAUAUAGCUUUCACACACUCACCUGUUGUUUUCAAUAGUUAAAGAGGGUCUUGUCUUGUGGUGCGUUCUCAAAAAAACACUUUGAUUUUAAAAUCAAUUUUCCUAAAUUUCCGAACAAAGGAGAAUGAAACCCCACUACUCCACCACCCAGUGAGCCCUAACACUUAUUUCUCACUUUCUCUUCCUCUUCCGCUUCCUUAGGGCUCCUCACUCAAAGCGUGAUUCAAGCUACAGCCAGUGAAACUAGAGAAACUCCAUAAUUAUAAUAAUAAUAAUAAUAACAUCAUUAUUGUUAUUACUAUUAUUUAUGAAAAAGAGAUAAACAAGUUUACUUUUGGUGAUUUGACAACUCCCUCUCGCUGGCCUUACACAGACUGAUACGCAUUUAAGUCAGUAAAAAAAACAUCUCAGCGAGCAGACUUUCCUCUUGCUACUUACCACCUUUGUCCUUUCCUAUAUUUCUAUUUCUUUUGACUUAUGUUAGCUAAUUGAGUUAGAAUCUUGUCAUGUAAGUGAUUUCAAUUUCACAUCAAAGCCCCCAAACCAGCUCUUCUUGCAUCUUUUAUACAAAAUAAAAGAAAACAAUAAAGUAAAAUGUGAGUGAAAUAGAUAGUCUAACGGAAUGAAAUAUAUAGGGAAAGAAUUUGCGUAAAUUGUAUAUGUAUGCAUAAUUUUGUUGCUAUAUGUAUAUAUAUAAGAUCUAGCUAUUUGAAAUUUGGUGAAAUUGAUGGUUGUUAACUCCUAACUUGAUCCAUUGAUCUGCGAAAGAUCCGAUCAGAACCGUCGCCAUCCAUGCUCAUGUAAGCCCUGUGGGAUUCCCUCAUCCCAAAAAAGACAACCGUGUCAUCAUCCAUUGUAUAUGGCAAGGGUCAAGUGCUUUCUAUGUGCAAGAUUAUUAAAUGUGUUCCUAACAGGGAAGUUGAGAACUUUAUUCGCCCCUUACAAUCAGAUAUCAUUAAGAUGAUUCUAUAUAUUCAAAUCCACCAGAACAGUUAGUCUUUUUAUAAAAAAAAAUAAUAAAAAAACAAUAUUCUACCCAGUUUUGUUCAUUUCAUCAUGUAAUUUAUUCCAAACUUUUCUCCCUUUUAUAUUUGUUUCAUGAUUAUCUUAAAAGUAGAAGAUAUUUUUGUAAACAACUUUUCAAACAUAUUGAGAGGGAAAGAACAAUUGUUUUUUCAAAAAUGAAAGGAGGAUAUGAAAGUUGUCUGGCUUUAAUUGCAGAAGAAGUAUUUUCUUAAUAUAAAACAAUGUUAAAGCCAUAGAUGCAGACUGGUUUAACUUUUUGGUUACUUAUUCAAUCAUAAAACUGCGUCUUUUCCUUAUCUCCUCCGACUGGAAACUGCAAGAAGGAAAUGAAAACGGAAGACAUGUCGAUAUCAACAGUAUUGUUUGGAAGAGAAAAAGUUGAUAAUUGAAAUGGCACAAGGCUUAAUGUUGAAGAAAUGUGUUAUUGGUAUAUAGCUCCACUUGUUUAUUCCUUUUACUAUUAUUUGGAAUCUGACUGUUAGUACUCGCGGUGAUAACUGAUAACUGGUGGCAAUAGGUAGUCAAGUUGAAAUUGUACUUGCAUGUUUUGUCAACAUUUGGGCUGUUCCCAACUUUCCAUUGAGUUAGAAGUCAUUCUUGAUGCCUCUUCAUCAUACGACAUUACUAAAGCAGCCAAGGGAUGAGGAGAGCAAAACCUGGAAACAUUUUUCUAUAAAAAUGCAAUAACUAUAGUAAAAACCCACCCUUUCUUUGGAAUUUUUUUCUUUUUUACAUUACUAAAUAUAUCUCAAUUCUUACUUUUCACCUCACUUUCUGUUUUUCAAAUAACUUUAAUAUCAAUAAUGGUUAACAGUAAACUUAUUCAUUAAAUUAUAUUUAAAUUAAGUUUUAAUUGAUAAUAUUAAUUAUUAAUAUCAAUAAUGGUUAAAUCUUCGAAAACUAAAAAACUUAUUAACAUUGAAAUUAUCUAUUAACUAUUUACCUACUGUUUCCUUAUUUAUUUCAAUAGUUUAUUUUUUAAAAAAAGUUUUAAAAAUAAUUUUAAUUUUAUUUCAAUUUCUGCUUUUAAAAACCAAUUUUUUAUGAGAUGUAAAUUCGACAUAAUAAAGGUCAUAAUUCAAAGAUAUGGACAUACUUUGACUAUUCAAAGACUGAAUCCUAACCAUACAUGUUUCUUUUAAAUAAAAUGGAUCCGGGAAAAAUCCCAUCCUUUGAAUAAUUGAGGUACAUUGUAAUUUGAAUUGAUAUAAAUAUUAAGGUAUAGUAUAUAUGUUUAGGUAAUGAUUGUGUUUGUGAAAAAGAAGCUAAAAAAAGUGAAAUGAAAUUUUUGUUUAGAUUGAGAAAAUGUAUGUUGCAUUUAAUGUGGAAAUGCAGAAGAAGAAAAGAGAUUGAAGAAAAAGAUGAAGGGUAGGUGGCGAAAAGUUGGAAUUAUUUGUAGGAAAUGCAGAAAUAAGUAGAGUGAUGUAGUGAGAGAGAAAAGGCUAGUGGAAUAGAGUAAGAUUAGGGGGUUGUGUUGUGAGGGCAAUAUUAAACAUGAAUAGAGAGAGUACAGAGUUCAGAAGUUUAGAGGCAGUGGGCAGAUUUGGCAGUAAAAUUCAGCAGAAACCUACUUAUUACUUAAUUAAUCUCUUGAACCACCAAACCAAGGUCUAGUCUCUUCACCUUUCACUCCUAACUAAGCAUGCAUGACACAUGACACCAACUGUACUUAAGACAAACCUUUAUACUCUUUUGUUUAUCCAUCUUUUUUAAACUCAAUGAAACGUCACCAACAUCACCCUUUUAUAUUUUUUUUCCAAUAUCUUCAUUGCUCUUAUUUUGGUCCUUAAGUUUUGAAUUAUCUCAAUUGGGUCAUCAUUUUUGUAGAAAUGUACACAUUUUACCCUAACUGUUAAAUUGUCUCAAACGACGUUAAUUGAUGUUGAAAUGAUUUUUUUAUUUUAGGCUCAAUUCCUCCCUUGGUCCUUAUGUUUGUGUGAAAAUCUCAGUUCGAUCCUCAUGUUUUUCUUCAAGUCCUUAUGAAAUGCAAAUUUUACAACCCCCAACCAUUAAGUGUAUUGAGACGACAUUAACUUUGAAUUGAGGUGUAAUUUUUUUUUAUGUUUUAAAAUCAUUAAAUCCACGUACCUGUGGUCUUUCUUUUUCCUUCCAAUCACUUAUCACACUUCACGCAUUCCUCCACCUUCAAACCCUUAAACCCCUCGAUUCACACAUAUUCUUCCUCUCAAAAUAAAAAAUGUUGUCGUUGUCGACAGUUCAAAAAUUAUGACCCAAUUGAGACAGUUCAAAACUUGAGGAUCGAACUGAGAUUUUUACACAAACAUAAGGACCAAGGAGGAAUUAAGCCUAAAAUAAAAAAUUCAUCUCAACAUCAAUUAACGCCGUUUGAGACAACUUAAUGGUUAGAAUAAAAUGUGUGCAUUUUUACAAAAAUUAUGACUUAAUUGAGACAGUUCAAAACUUGAGGAUCAAACUUAGAUUUACACACAAAUAUGGAGACCAAUGAAGGUAUUAAGGUUAUAUUUUUCUCAUUAAUCUUCUUUUUUUCUCACCAUUUUUAUGCUCUAAAUUAUCUAUCUUCUUCUAAACUGCUCUGAAUGUACCCGGAGAAAAUCUUGUAUGCUCCUGAACAAAAUUUACCUCUUUCAACAUCCUUGUUUCAACCUCCACAAAUUUAAAUCAAAAGUAACCAGAGAAAACGAAUAUAUUUACUCCCUCUUUUUUUUUCAUUUUUUUUAGAAUAAACCACUCAAAACCUUUAAAUUUAGAGAAAACUUAUGUGUAACUGUAAUUACAUGCACUUCAAGAAAGAGAUGUAAAUUAAUUGUUUUUCUUAUUUAAUUAAAAGUAUAAAUUAUAAAGUUCAUUUAUUUCUUAUUGCAAUAAUAUAUUAACAAAAAGAUGUUUUUUUAUCAUUUGACACUAUUUGGUCAUAAACAAGUGGAGGAAUAUUGCUUUUAAUAUUUGUCGCAUUAAUCUGUAAUUUUUUUUCCUUCCAUCUGUAAAUGGACCUAUAACUAGUUGGGGGAUUCAAGGUCUGGACGAGUUUAGUUGGUUCUACACUGAAUCAUUAAUUUUUAAUUAAAUAAAUUUUAUAUUAAUAUUCGUCAAGUUCACAUUAAUAAUUCUUUAUUUUGAAACUUAUUUAAUUUAAUUUACACUUAGUUGACACUUAACAAUUUUUUUUAUAUUGUUUAAUUUACUCAAUUUAACCGACAUUAUUGAUAAUAUUUAAAAAAAAUAGUUUUUCACAUAAUAUUUAAUCUUCAACAAAAUAAAAUAUAAAUUAAAAAAUAGACUUCUUUUCUAUAGAAUAAAAAAAUAUAACUGUGGAUGAAAAAAAGAAACGUAAAUUAAGAAAACGUGUGUAAACGAAAGAGUGAAUGAAAAAGAAGAAGAGAAGAAUAUGAACGAAAAGUGAAAAAAGAAAAUGAAGAAAAAAAUAUAAAAUAAAUAAAUUAAUGUGAUAUAAGAUGGUGAAUGUGACGAAAGGAAAUAAUAUAUAAAAAUUUAUAUAAAAAGUGAGAGAAAAAAAUUAAAUAAUAAAGAUUUAUUAUAUUUAAUAUAUGUAUAUUUAAAUUAAAAAAUAUAUAUAUUAUUCUUAUUUAUUAUCAUGAAACACACAAAUUCACAACAUAUAAACAUAUAAACUAGUGUUAGCUUAAUCGGUGGUAAUUUACAUAGAUAUUAAAGAUAUAUUAACGUCUUAUACUAACUUUAAUAAAUAAUAAAAUAAAAAAUGGUGUUAAUUUUAUUAAUGAUAACUUAAAUAAAUAUAUAAAAUUUAGGUCCAUUAAACUUACAAUAAUCUUAUUUUUUUAAUAUUUUUUGAAGUUAAUGUCAACUUAAUCCAUGCUAGUGUCACAUUAAUACAAAACUUUUGCUUAUUAAGAAAAGUAAAAAAUAGUUAGCUAUUAGUUAAAGUUUGUUAAGCUAAUUUUAUUAACAUUUAAUAUUAAGAAGAUUUAUCAGUAUUGAUUAAGCCAAUGUUAAUAUGACAUUAACACAAAUAUAUAUAUUUAAUAAAAACGAAAUUUAAAUGUAGUAAUGAGUAAGUAGCUAAAUCAUUUAAAAAUAAUUUCACAUUUUUAUUUUAUUUUUUAAAAAAUAAUAAUCUUUUGCAACACGUUAAAAUUAACCGAGUCCACGUUAAUAUUUAAAAGCUAAUUUAUUUUUCUGUAGAUUUUUUUUUUAUAAAAGAUAAAUAAAUUUUGUCAUUUAAAUUAACACGUCAUAUUUUUAAUUAAAAUAGAGAAAGGUGUUCUGUAAAUUGUAUUUGCUUAUUUUGGUUAUUUUUUCUUAAACUAAAGAGUUAAAAGUAUAUUUUCACAUUUAUUAUUAUUGUUUUUUUUCACAUAUACAUGUGUACCCUAUACCAAAUCCUAAGUUUAGACGAAAAACAUAAAUAAUGAAGGUGUGGAACUAAAAGAAGUAAGAAAAGGUUAAAAUGAAAGCAAAAAGAAAACAAAUUAAGUUUAUUUUGUGUUUAAUUAUUUUGUUAAAAAGAAAACUAGGUACAAAUAAAGGCAUAAAUGACAGUGUUUAGUUCAAGGGAAAUGUAUAAUCACACUUACCUAGCCAUCUUUAAAUAAUAAUAAUAAAAAGGUUAAAUUACCUAUUAUUUAAACCAUUGUGAUUCUGUCUAAAAGUUCAUUUCACUAAUUCAUCAACAUUAAAUAGUUAGUUUAUUCAUAACAUUAAUUCACUUUUCAUUUAUAUUUAUAUAUAUGUAUGUAUGUAUUAAUUAAUUAAAUUACUGCAAGAGAGACACAACUUUUUUCAAAUAUAAUUGUUAUUCUUUUCAAAACAAUAUUUUCAAAGUAAAAUUACAUGUCCAAAAUUUUGUAUCUAUUUCAGUUACCAUUUAUUAAAUUAAGAAAAAUAAGCUAUAAUUAUUCGUGAAAUAAGAGAGACAAGAUAAUAAUAUAAAUAUAAUAUCAGAAAGUGAAAGAAAUACUUUUUAUAAAAUAUUAUAAAUGAAAAAGCUAUAAAACAAAAAAAAAAUAGUAAUAAAUUGUUAAGCAAAAUAGAAGGGGUGAUUCGUUUUAAAGUUAUUAAAAGUAAAAGUAAUUUAAAAUAUUUUAAAGAAAUAAAAAAUAAGAUGUAUUUUUUGACACACUUAAAUUUUUUACAUUCAUUUGACACUAUGUUUACUUACUUUUUUGUCUCUUCUUUCUUGAAAGAGUAAUAAUACCAUAACAUACUUUUACAUUCAUUUGACACAGAAUACAAAGAUAAGAUCAUCCAAAAAGUGUAAAGUUUUGUAAUUUUUCAAAAAAGAAAGAAUAAAAAAUAAGUAAAGAUAAUGUCCAAUAAAAAAUUUAAGUGUGUCAAAAAAUCAUUUCUCUUUUUUAAAAAAUUAUAAAAUUUUAUACUUUUUAGACCAUUUUAUCCUUGUAUUAUAUAUUAAAUAAAUGUAAAAGUAUGUUAUCGUAAUAUAUAUAUAUAUAUAUAUAUAUAUAUAUAUAUAUAUAUAUAUAUAUAUAUAUUUAGUGCAUGGAUGGAUGUGAUGGAUGGGUUGAUGAGUGUAAAGAAGGAGGAAGGAAGAAAAGGCAGUGUCUGAAAAAGCCUGGUGAGAGGUGUUUGUUGGUGUGUUUUGUGGGGAUUUGAGGAUCUUUCAAAUCUCUUGUUCUCAAUCUAUUGUGUAGAAACCGAUAAAGUAGAAAAUUCAAUGUGCAUGCCAUGCUAUUCCUAUUAUUUUAUUUCUCGCAAUUACUAGUGCCCUCUGCCUCUGCUCUCUCUUUGCCUCCAUCCUUCCCUCAGACACAAGUACAUUACAGUUUAAACAGAGGACGAUGCUCACAGUACCUUCUUCUUUUUUCUUUUUUUUUUUUUUUUUUUCUUUUCUCAAUAUUAAAAACUAUUUCUUUUUUAAAUAUUAGUAUUUUGUUCUCCUUUUCGAGUCUCGUUAAAUCAAUAAUUCCUUGUUCUUUCUUCAUCUUCUUCUAUAUUAUUCUUCUUUCUUUACAUUUUAAACUUUCACUUUUUUGCCUUUUGAUGUUCCAUUUUGUUUGCUUCUUACUCUCUUCUUAUUUUUAAACAUGAAAUUCGUAUAUUGAAAUCCAAAAUCAUAAUUAUAUAAAGGGCUUUCUUCUUUCACUCCCAACUCUUCUUCUUGUACUCCCACCUUUUUCAAGUUUCCCAUAUUAUCCUUUUUAUUGUUUAACUGAAUCUUUGAGUUUUACAAGGGUAAAAACCCUAAUUCCUUGUUUUCUUUCCUCACUUUCUCCUCUAGCUUUUGCGUCGCACACUACAACUUCAUCUCUUCUUUGUUCUUUUUCGUCUUGCAUUCAUCUCUUCACAUCUGUUGUUUUCUUCUUUUUCAACAAAAGUUUAAUCUUUAAGUUCAUUGGUUGUACAAGAUAAUAUUUUGAUUUUUGUGUUUUAAACAUUAUUGUUUUUUUUAAUAAUUGGGGUGUAGUGGGUUAUUCUUGCAUAACCGAAUUUGAAAUGAUGAAACGAAAUUUGGAGAAGGCAGAUUAUGAAAUCCAGAAUGUCUAGAAUGUGAAAUUCAUGAGGCCUAAAUAUGUGAAAGCUAUAUUUUGAAAUCCGUCAAAACCGAAUUCUGUAAUACAUGGCACUGAAUUCUAUAAUACGUGGGGCAUGGAUUAUGAAAUUCUAUAAUAUGUGUAUCAUAUUUUGAAAUCUGAUUUUAUUGAUUUUGAAAUCUGAUUUUGUGAAUUCUGAAAUUUCAAAAUGUUAAAUUCUCAAAUUAUUAAAAUUAUGAAGUGUUUUUUUUUAACGUUUGUGUUGUUUGUAAGUUAUAAUUUAUUUGGAGAUGGAAAAUUAUUUUUUAGACUUUAUGCAUUCACAUUAAGAUGUGAAGUAAAUUAAAGCUUAAACAUGGAAGAUUCAUUCAUCUUUUUCCCUAAAAGUGAAGUUGUUGAUGUUGAUUAUAUUAUGAAUUUUACAAUAUAAAAGGUAUUUUCUACACAAAAUGCGUUACUUGAGUGGCUUAAAAGUAUUAUUUUUUACCUUGGAUUUAUGUUGUUAGUAUGAGAUUUGAUACAAUUUCUUGUUAAUUCGAAAGGAAAAUAUGUGUUACUAAGACAUAAAAGGAGUGAAAAAUAUAGAAAUUAUAAAUUUGACUUUCGACUUAAUAUAAAUGAUUUGUUUAAGACUUUAAUUUAUCACCCUUAUGUUGGUAGAUUAAAAUCAAAUGAAAAAUUAUUGCAUAUUGACAUGACUAAGAGUCAUGUUAAAUCUGUUGACAUUUUGCUUACCCUUAAAACAAAAUAAUGAAGAUAAUGUCACAACAAUGAAAUAAUUUUACAAUGCCAAAUAUACUUAUAAACGAUCAUUAACAGGAUGCAAAACUGAAUUAAUAGUUAAUGAUGUUGUUAGAACGUAAUUAAUACAUUAAUCGGAGUAUAUGUAAAGAGGAUUAUGAUAAGGUUAAUGACUUAUUUUGGAUACAUCCUUAUGCAAUUAAGUUGAUGAACACAUUUAAUAUUAUUAUUGAUGGAUAACACUUACAAAAUCAAUAAAUUUAGGUUGCCUCUACUUGAGAUUAUUAGUGUCACAUAAAUAAGGUUGACUUUCUUUGUGGCCUUUGUUUUUUUAUCAAGUGAAUGAUAAAAUAACUUUGUUUGGAAUCUUGAAAGGCUAAAAGGGUUUUUUAUGACAUCUCAUGGUCUCCCUAAAGUCAUUGUUACUGAGAGAGAUAUUGCUUUGAUGAAUACAAUAAGGAUAGUGUUCCUUAAAUCUUCUUCAUUAUUUCCACAUUCAAAAAAAAUGUUAGAGCCAAGUGGAAAAUGUUGGUUGGUUCUAUGGAGGCAUGAGAGGUUGUCUUGGAUGCAUGGGAAAAAGUUAUGGAUUGUCGAGACCAUUCUACUUUUCCUUAUUAUUAUGUUAGGCGACUUCAUAAUGUUUGUAAUGUUUGAUCUUUAUUUUUUGAAUAUGUUAAUGAAUCAUGGAUAAUUUCUUAUAAAGAAAAGUUUGUAAAGGUGUGGACAAAGAAAGUCAUUAUUUGGGACAAACAAUGACAAAUAGGUAUGGUUAACUAAUUUUAAUUUAUUUGCUACUUUUACAUUUAACAUGUAAUUCUUGAUUUCAUGUAUUGUAGGAUUGAGUUAGAACAUUGGACUUUGAAGAAAGUCUUGAGAAACAUUAUGAGAGACUUGUGUUUGUGUUGGGAAGAAAUUCACAAUGUUACCACACUGCAACACAAUGAAAUUAAGGCGUUCUUUACAAAAAAAAUCUACAUCUCAAGAGUCAUGAUUUCAAUAUUGGCAAGAAUAAAAGACUGGUGGAUUUUGUGACAAGAUUUACUCCGCUAUGUAUUGCUGAUGAAUUUAAUCGGAUUAAAAAAUGAUGAGGACGAUGAUGAGAAUGGGAGAAAGUGAUUAAAGAAGGGUGAUGAGGACAUGAGGACAAGAGAGAAAAAAAGAAUGUAAGAAAGUAAGGGGGAGGGGGGAAGAGGGGUUGGGAGGAGAGAGGAGUAGGGUAAGGAGGAAGUGAUGAAAAGAAUAAAAGAAAGUGUAAGAGAAGAAGAGUGAGAGAUGAAAAAUGAUUUUAUCUUAAUUAAAGAUUGAGUAAAAUAAUCAAACAAUAAAAAAAAUAAUGGAAGAAAUUUGAAAAAGUUGAGAAUAUAGAAAAAAAAAUAAAAAUGUACGAAUAAAACCCCUACUUUAAAUUAGUAUGUAGGACUAAACACAUUAGCAAAAAGUAUCCAACUCAGAAACACAAAAAAAUAAAUACGGAUUUCAUUCCAUUUCAUAAAAUAACAAAAAUCAUACAUAAUAAAUACAUAACAAAUAUAUAAAAGGACAAUUUUUUCCAAUACUUUCAUAAUUUUUUUUACCCUAUAAUUUUUUAUAUUUUAGAUCUGUACAUUUUAUAUUCCAAAAUAUAUAAUUCAUGAUAUAUUUUUUAUUUUUAUAUUUUAGAAUUGUACAUUUAAUAUUCUAAAAUAUAUAAUUUGAAAUAUAUUUUUUAUUAUAUAUUUUAGAAUCUACAAUAUAAAAUAUAUUUUUAUUUGAUAUUUUGAUAUAUAUACAAUUCAAAAUAUAUUUGCACUCUUAUUAUAAAUUAAGAAUAUUUUUUUAUUUUAUUUUAUAUUUUAAUUAACGAUUCGAAAUAAUAAAAGAAUUAUAUUUUAGAAUGUUCAUUAUGGAAUACAAAAUUUUAUAGGGCUGCAAAUUGAAAUUUUGAUGUCUAAUAAUUUUGUAGCUAAUAAUUUUUUUUUGUUUUUUUAAAUAAAUUAUAAGUAUUUUUUUCAUAAUUUGAUGAUUCAACUUAGAAGUUAUACACAUUCUAAAAUAAAAUAUAACACUCUAACUACUUAUUGAAUAUUUCACACAUCUUUACUUUUAUAUAUAAGUAUUUUACAUUAUUCAUAAUCAUAAUUAUACAUUAAUACAUAACAACUUACAUCUAUAUUAUAAUAACAAUAAUAAUAAUAAUAAUAAUAAUAAUAAUAAUAAUAAUAAUAAUAAUAAUAAUAAUAAGUUUUAAUGUUUCAAUAGGUCCCUAUUUUUGUCUAGAGUCUCAAAUAACACCUUUUCUUUUUUAGCGUCUCAACUAAGUCCUUAUUUUUGUAAAAUUGAAUCAAAUAGGGCCAAAUAGGACCUUUCCGUUAAAUUAAUCAGACGGCGUUAAAGAGGGUAUGCUGACUGUGUAGUGUGUAUUACGUGGCAUUAAAAAGUGACUGAACUAAUUUUUUUUUUUGAAUUAAAAAAUAAGCUUAAAGUGAGGGUAAAGUUGGAAAGCACCCAUUCUCCUCUCCUCUGCAAUUACGAAAUCCAAACGAAGCCACAUUCAUCUAUGGCGCUCCAAUGGCGGCAAGAGCACGACGAGGGCAUCACUGACGGUGCAAUGAUGGCGUGAUUCAAUCAGAACCCUUCUUCCCUCUAUCAUUUUCAAAUUUUAGCACUUCCUCGCAGCAGAGAUGGCACGGCGGAGGUUUACUUUCUCCUCUACGUUCUGGAUCGCGACGCAAAAGGUAGGCUUCCUCCUCCUUUCUGUUUCUGUUUCGUCUUAUAGGGGGAAAGAGAUUUUGGUGGUCUGCGGCAUAAGGCAGUGAGGCCGUGAUUUGGCGAAAGCAGCGACAGUAUCGAGUUUGGGUUUAGGGUUCCUCUUGUUCUCUGAUUUUGGGGAUUAGGGUUUGCUGAAAUUAGGAAAUUAGGGAUUUCUGGUGUAAUUGGUUUUUUAUUCGAAUUGAAUUGGUGAUCUAUGUAUGGGUAGAGCAUUUCUGGUUUGUUUAGGGUUAGAUUUCUCGCCGCAAAUUUCUGGUAUGAAUUGGUUUGCUUUGAUUUUUUUUCUAAAUACUUUUUUUCCUUCUUUGGAUUGUAGAAACUAUUUAGAACAUAAUGACAAUUUUUAACUUUAUUCAACCACAAAUGUCAUCCAAAGAUGAUUCAUUAGAUGUCUGAUUUUCUGCCCAAUUGAAACUGUAAUUUUCUUAAAGAAAUUUGUGAUGUUCCAUUUUGAUUUUGGGUCAAGUCCACAAGGACUUUGUCACAACUCAAAGAGAAAAUAUUUUUCACACUAGAUGUCUUAUAGUUAGCAAGUUUUGCUCCAUGAUCAUAGACGAGGGAAGUUGCACUAAUGUGACUAGCACACGCGUAGUGGAAAAGCUCAAGCUACCCAUUGUUGUGCAUGCCAAGACCUACAAACUUCAAUGGUUAAGUGAGGAGGGUGAAAUCUUGGUAAACAAGAAAGUCCAUAUUUCCUUUUCUAUUGGCAAGUAUCAAGAUGAGGUUCUUUGUGAUGUUGUACCCAUGGAAGCAAUUCACAUUUUAUUAGGAAGACCAUGGCAAUUUGAUAGAAAUGUUAAACAUGAUGGUCUUACUAAUAGAAUGUCUUUUACUUACCAAGGGCACAAGGUAGUCUUAAAACCUCUAACUCCAAAGGAAAUACAUGAGGAUCACCUCAUCAUGAAGUCCAAGAGAGGUGAAGAAAGGAGAAGGUCAAGCUUAAUUGUCUCAUUUCUCAUAAAGAGGUCCUUCAAGAUAGAAAAGAGGAUAAAGAAACAAAAGAAAGGAAAGAAAGAGAAGAGAGAGAAAAAGAAGAAAAAGAGAGGAAAGAAAAAGAGGAGAAAGCAACAAAAGAAAAAGAGGAAAUUGUGAGAGAAAAGGAGAAGGAAAACGUCCUAGUCACAAAGAAAGUGUUACUACAUGCACAUUCCACUCCCAUCUUUCUACAAGAUUCAAGCCAUGACAGGGGAGUUUUUUCAUCCUUCCACUUUUCUCCAAUUAUUAAGCUUUCUUCUUUUUCUAAAAGCUUUUGUGAAAAUAUCCCACCUUUCUCGUCUCUUUUUACCACUUCUUCAUACACCAUUUCCAUCCCACAUCUUGAGUUAAUGUAUUCUUUUUUACACUUCACUCAAGACAAAAAUAAAAAUUUUUCAAAAGGAUUUUACGUUUUCCCUAAGCAAAUAAAUCCAAUUUCAAAGACCCAUUCUUUCAAUAUUCCUUUUCUAUAUACAUUGUUUGGUAAACAUCAAUUUAUUCACAAAAUAUUUGAUGUUUUUUGCAGUUUAACAUUUGAUCCAGGAGGAGUUUCCUUUGCUAUCUUUGUUGUAGGUUUUUCAAGAUUCGAGGUCGAAUCCUCUGCAACCUGGGGGGAUGAUAUGAUCAUAGAUGGGGCAACAAUGAAGAGCUCUUAGAGUGACAAAAAGAAUAGUGUAGGUUAUGGGGCUUAUAUUUUGCCUCUUUUGCUUUUGUUUCAUUUCUAGUGAGGAAACGUUUGAAGUAUAAGAUAACAUAAUUAGCUUUCAUGUUUUGAACUAAAAGAGAACUAGUUGCCUUAUAAACCCUUUGGAAUGGAGAGAUUUAAGCAAUGUGGGACUCAAAAGCCCCUAGAGGACGUACAACAGCUGCUGGCCAGCCUUCUCACUCAAAAGUCCCACAUCUCCUAGAUCUUGCAUCCUAACUCACUCCAAAGGCUAUAUAAGAAGGCUUAAGGGUCUCCUUUUUGUACCUUACCUUGAAUUGAAUUUGAGUUGAUUUGCACCUUUGCAAUCCUCUUUUGAGAUAGUAUUCUGUCUUCAAGUCUCUCUUUUGUGCAGACCUUAUCUUGCUCAAGCAAGUGGCGGUCCUCCUUUGAUGCUUAUCUUGGAGCCUCCUUCAAGUGGUGCAUCUUCAAGUCUUAAGUUUCCUCUUUCUUAAUCUCUUCCAUUUUUAAUUUCUUUUCCAUUAUCUUAAAUGUUAUUUAGAAUAUUCUCUCUAGGCAUGCACUUCCCCAUCAGGUUGUAGCUUUAUUUGAUAUCAAGAUAGACUAAUCCAGCCACAUGAUAUACAAUAAAUUCAUAUGAGUAGGCGUGGUAGAAUGUGAUGGGUUUGUUAGGCAUAUUGUGGCUGAACCAUCAAAAUAUCUCACGAUUGUUCAUGUUUUCCUAAAGCCAAUAUAUUUAAUUUGGAUGAUGAUAUUUUAAUAAUCUUUUUAAUUUUUUGACAAUAGAUUAUGUAUCACUAUUUUAUUAGUUUGUUUGAAUUUAGUUUUAAAAAAAUAUUUGAAAUAAACCAAUCAUAAAUCAUCACAUAUGCGCUGUCAAAAAAUUGUAAAAAAAAUUGUACAGAAGGGUAAAUAUCAUUAAUGGUCAAUUAAUAUGUUUAAUGACCAUAUUAAAUGCGAAUAUACGCUAUUUAUGAAUGAUUGACAAGUCAUAUUGCACGAGAAUAUGAUAUUAAUGGACAAUUAAAAGAUAUUAUUGAAUUUGAUUUUCUGGUUUAAUGAUUAAUCAAUGCACUUAGCUAUCACAAGCUAUCACUAAGCUAUCACUAAGCCAUCACCCAUCGGAAGAUUGCGUUCUCAAAAAAGAUCAAAAUGAUCGAAAGAGAAUAGAGAAGGAGGGUCAACCGACCCUCAAACCAAUUCCACCGAAACAAUUUAGUUUAUCUCUUUAUUGUUUCUUCUCACUCUUCCCCUUUUGUCUAUCCUUUCACUCCAAUUUAUAAGAAGAAUGUAAUGAUGCUUUUUUUGUUAUCUAUGUAAAUAAAUAAUCAAAGUUAGUUUAUGAUUUCCAAUCCUUCAUAAGUUAGAGAUGUAAUUUAUUAACAAAUAUCCCUUAUGUUUUUUCAACAUUUUAAUUUCACUGGGACUCUCAAUUAGAUUAUCUAUCAAUUCAAAUUCAAUAUUAGAUUCUACUUUUAUAACUUUUUUAUACAUUUUUUUAAGAUAUAAAAACUAAUAAAUUUAUAGUUUAAACUACUAUAGUUCAAUAAAUCAUUUAAAUUAUUUAUAAUCAGUAGAAUGAAUAAAUAAAAGUGCAUUAUUUUUAAAAGCUGUCUGAUAAAAAAAAAAAUAUUGUAGAAAUCAAACUAAAGAAUUAUUUCGUAAUUAUUGAUUAAGUCACACCUAUCAGAUUAUACAUAGAACAAUUUAAUAUCAAUAGUCUUCUUUCUUUUUGUAUAUAAAAUAGUUUAAUAUUAUAAUACUAUUGUUCUUAUAAUUAAAAAAGUAGUUUCAUUUAAAUUUGAAAAAAAAAUUAUACUUAAAAUUGCCAUAAUUUAAUUGUGUUAAUUAUAUAAUAUUAAAAAAACGUAACGAAAGUGAAAUAAUAUAACAAUUAGUAUAACAUGUAUAUAUAAUUUUUUUUACAAAAAGGGCAGAAAAACAUAAAAAGAGAAAAAAGGUGCUGAAGAAAAUUCGUAAGAAACAAAAUAAAUUGUAGAAAAAUACUUGUUUAUAGUAAAAACCAAUAUAAAUUAUGGAAAUAUAAUUGUGUAACAAACAUUAUUAAUAUGUAUGAUAUAACAAUAUUUGUAUUUGAAAAAUAUUGGAACUAUUCAAAUGAUGGAGGUGUGGGAAGAAAUGACGUAUAACACCAAGAUCAACACGUUCUUCUCGUGUAUUAGAUUCAUAUGUGCUUUUGUACCAGCCUUGAGUAAUUAUUCUUACACCCUAUUUUUUCUUUUUCGUGUCCAUAUAGUAUGAAGCAAAUAUCUGAAUGGUUGAUGUCAUACAUUUCUAAAUUAUAUAAUCUAAAUAGUGUAUUUUGUAUACAUACCUGAUUAAAUAAAUUAAUUUUUUUUUUCACAUAUCAACCGGACUGAUACUGACAUCACAAUGACAGUGUAAAGAUUUAAAUAAAUUACAUGUUAAACCUGAGGAAUUAUUGUACUACAAGAAUAUCUCAACCACUUGGUCCAUGAUGAUCUUGACCUGAAUAUAUUCGGACAACAUAAUAUCAUUUCAACCAAAACAUAAUAAUAAUGGUGAAAAGAGAAGAACUUAAUAUGAUGACUAAAAUGUAUUAGUAAAGUAUUAAACAAGUUAAUGAAUGUAAUUAAGUAUGUAGAUUAGUCUCAUUCAAGUAAAAGCCUAUAAAUAAGGUAUAAAUAAAGUAUAGAAGAUAAAUUAAUUACAUUUCAUUAUUAUAGUAUUUAUUAUAAUUUAAUACAUUUGAGAUACUUAAAGGUCCAUGUAUUUUCUACAUACAUAUCUCAUUAUUGAAGAGAUACAGACCUACAAUAUCUAGUCUUAAAAGAUAUAAAAUUGAAUUUGAGAAUACUAUUAAAGAAUCAUUCACGGAGAUAUUUAUAAAGUAUAUUCAACCUUGGAAGAAUAAUAUAAUAUAAUAUAAAAAAUAUAUGUUAUAUUAAUUCAUAAUUUAUAAUUAUUGAAAAGAAAGAUUCAGUUUUUUUUAAGUAAAUUUUAGUAAACGCUCAAUACCUGAGUAGACUUUUCAAGUUGAUAAUGCUUUCUGGGUGAUCUCAAACUUUGCAAUUGUUAUCUUGUCAAAAAAAAAAUCUUGAUACUUUUUAUGUACAAAAAAUUUACUUGUUACUAAUAUAACCUAACUCGCGUUGUUCUUUAGAUCUACUUUGUUCACUCCAAUAGUAUCAGAAAUCAAAUCAAUGCAUAGGAAAUGAAUNCGUUGUCAUACUAUAUAGAAUUCAGACUAUACCACACCACUUCUUUUACUGGAUCUUACGGAGCCUGUUGAUGCAGAAUAAAAUUGAGUCUGAUCAUAGAAAAGAUUCUCUUCAAGUAAAACCAGCCUACCCUAUCUGUAAGAGCCUCUCUUGGUGGUUGGAAAAAAGUCACAUUUAAUUGUAAAUUCUAAUGUGGCAGAUAAGAGAAAGUCAUAUAUCUGCGCGGUCAAAUAAAUAGUUCAAGUCACACUCCCAUAAUCCAAAAAAAAAAAAACAAAAAUUCAAUUUUUGUUAAGUUGAAGAAAAAUAUCUAAAUACAUGUUUUAUUUUUUUUUAUAAUCCAUAAUUGUAACAAUGAAAUAAAAUCCUCCCCAAAAUAAAAAAUGAUAGUGAUUACAUAUAUCUAUGAUCCAUAUUCACAAUAAAGGACCAGAAAUGCCUUGCUUACAUAUCAUUGAAAAGUGCAUUAACAUAAAUACA